UAGAAGAAAGUAAGAAAGGGUACACGGGGGAUGCCUUGGCUCUCAGAGGCGAUGAAAGACGUGAUAAGCUGCGAUAAGCUACGGGGAUUUGCAAAUAAGAUUUGAUCCGUAGAUUUCUGAAUGGGGAAACCUAACUAUUUGAAGAAUAGUUGCAUAAAUGCGCGAACCUGCUGAACUGAAACAUCUAAGUAAGCAGAGGAAGAGAAAAUAAUAAUGAUUUCCUGAGUAGUGGCGAGCGAAAGGGAAAGAGCCCAAACCAGCUAUGUUACGGCAUAACUGGGGUUGUAGGACCACGAUAUUGUAUAUUAAAAUGAACCGGAACGGGGUGGGAAACCCGGCCAUAGAGCAUGAGAGCUGCGUACGGGUAAGUAAUAAUAACAUAGUGGUAUCCUGAGUACCGCGAGGUCGGAGACGCCUUGUGGGAAUCUGCCGGCACCAUCCGGUAAGGCUAAAUACUCCUGAGAGACCGAUAGUGAACCAGUACCGUGAGGGAAAGGU
rnacentral:rRNA from 1 species